rnacentral:tRNA from 1 species
CGCGGGGUGGAGCAGUCUGGUAGCUCGUCGGGCUCAUAACCCGAAGGUCGUAGGUUCAAAUCCUUCCCCCGCUA